ensembl:misc_RNA Y_RNA Y RNA
GGCUGUUCCAAUGGCAGUGGGUUAUCAGAACUUAUUAACAUUAGUGUCACUAAAGUUGGUAUACCACCCCCCCACUACUAAAUAUGACUGGCUUAAA